CGACAUGGAGAGGUCCAUGUGGUGAGGAGCUGAGACCACCUGCCAACGGCCAUCUGAAUGAGCCAUUUGGGAAAUGCGUCCUUCAGCCCUAGUGGAACCUUGAGAUGACUGAAACCCCAUUCGAGGCCUUGACUGCACUUCAUAAGGGACUCUGAGCCAGAAUUAUUCAGAUUCUUGAGCUUUUUCUUGGUCAACAGAACUGCCAACUGACUUUCUUGAGCUACUUUUUUCAUGUGAACUGAUCCUGCUUUGAAGGAAAUGGUGCUUUCCAAUUUUUUUCCUCCCAGUAUUUGACGAGUCAAAGUUUUGAUAUCCGAGAAUAAAGCUAUUGUUUUUAUACACAUUGGGAAGUUUCUCCUCUGUUUGAAAGCGAACAUUUUGAGUUUGGCCAUGUCCUACACUCUCAUCUUUAGAGACCACCAGGGAUUCUGUCUUCACCAUGAUUCAGGACCAACCAGAUUUUUAAAUGGCCUUCACUGUCUUAAAAUACCCAU